rnacentral:lncRNA from 1 species
GACCUCGCCCAAACUCCUACAGAUACCGAACCUCGCUACCAACUCCAACCGAACUUCGACCGACAAGUCUGGACCCCCUGGCAGGCCACAGUAACGGACAACACUGCUCCACUCCCUGCGGCGGACUCUACGCAGCUCCAUCACUCCCUGACAGGCCGCAGUAACGAUCACAGCACUACUCCACUCCCUACGAUGGGUCUCGCGCAGCUCCACUACUCCCUGGCAGGCCACAAUAACGGCCACGAUCC